rnacentral:miRNA from 1 species
CAGACCUCCCUCCCAGACCCUCUCACCUCCUGGACAGCUCACUAAGAAUGCAGCUUCACAAUAGAUGCUGUCCAGGAGGUGGGAGGGUCUGGGAGGGAGGGUCUG